UAGUCAACUACGGAGACAACUGCCUAAGGCAGGACUGGUGACUGGGGUGAAGUCGUAACAAGGUAUCCCUACGAGAACGUGGGGAUGGAUUACCUCCUUUCUACGGAGUACACAUAAACAAUAUUUAUUGUUACUUAAUUACCUUAUUUUAUAAAUUAUUUCGUCAUGGGAUAUAUCUAGUUUUGAGAGGAUUUUCUCUCUAUGUUCUUUGAAAACUGAAUAGUAAAGAUAUUAAUAUAACAACGACAUCAAAAAAUAAAUUAGUCAAUUUGUUUUGUGAUACCGAGAAAUUAUUAGAAAUAAUAAUUCGUUAAAAUGUCUUUGAAUACAUCAACAACAAUAGGAAAAUAUUGUUACAACUUUUAAAUAAGUAA
rnacentral:misc_RNA from 1 species